rnacentral:rRNA from 1 species
AGGCCUAACACAUGCAAGUCGAGCGACGGGCCUUCGGGCUACGGAGCGGCGAACGGGUGAGUAACACGUGAGAAACCUACCCUUUCAUUCCGGAUAAUUGGCUGAAAAGCCUUGUAAUACGGGGGGGGCUCCUCGGAUGGCAUCUUCUGAGGAACAAACAAGCAAUUGGUGUAAGGAUGGUCUCGCGGCUUAUCAGCUAGUUGGUGGGGUAACGGCCUACCAAGGAUACGACGAGUAGCUGGUCUGAGAGGAUGCUCAGCCACAUUGGAACUGAGAUACUGUCCAGACUCAUACGGGAGGCUGCAGUCGAGAAUCUUGGGCAAUGCACGAAAGUGUGACCCAGCGACGCCGCGUGGAGGAUGAAGGCCCUCUGGGUUGUAAACUCCUCUCACGGGGGAAGAAUCAAUGACGGUACCCAGGUGAAUAACCCUACGUCUAACUACAUUCCAUCA